rnacentral:lncRNA from 1 species
CUGAGCAUACGCAGGCUAGGCAGCCCAGGCAGGCCAGGCAGGGCAGGCAUGGCAGCCUCCUGCUUGCAGAGAUCGCCAGAUCAACACCUUCCCCAGGGCCCUUGGAACCUGUGCUCAUCCUGCCCAGGGCCCAUGGGCCAAGACUCACCGGGCUCUGGUGCCACCUGACAGUCUCACCCCUCCUCCCGACAGGCUUCCUGCCAGAGGCAUUUGUGACAGAACAGCUGAUAUCCAAACAAGGCUGUACUUCCCAGCUUCUUUUGUGGCUGAGCGUGUUCACGACAGAGUUGUGGCCAAGGCCAAUGGGACACACAUGGAGUUUUGUAUGAG